GUGAGCUGAGGAUGAUUGAGUUAUCUCUGUCUGAACGACUUUCAUUUGUGAGGAGUCUGACUUGCUGAGGCUCAG
ensembl:snoRNA small nucleolar RNA R38